rnacentral:rRNA from 1 species
UACGAAGGGGGGCUAGCGUUGUUCGGAAUUAUUGGGCGUAAAGCGCGCGCAGGCGGUCCUUUAAGUCUGAUGUGAAAGCCCACGGCUCAACCGUGGAGGGUCAUUGGAAACUGGGGGACUUGAGUGCAGGAGAGAAAGAGUGGAAUUCCACGUGUAGCGGUGAAAUGCGCAGAUAUCAGGAAGAACACCCGUGGCGAAGGCGGCUCUCUGGGACGGUACUGACGCUGAGACGCGAAAGCGUGGGGAGCAAACAGG